rnacentral:rRNA from 1 species
GAUGAACGCUGGCGGCGUGCUUAACACAUGCAAGUCGAACGGGAAACCUUUUAUUGAAGCUUCGGCAGAUUUAGCUGGUUUCUAGUGGCGGACGGGUGAGUAACGCGUGGGUAACCUGCCUUAUACAGGGGGAUAACAACCAGAAAUGGUUGCUAAUACCGCAUAAGCGCACAGGACCGCAUGGUCCGGUGUGAAAAACUCCGGUGGUAUAAGAUGGACCCGCGUUGGAUUAGCUAGUUGGCAGGGUAACGGCCUACCAAGGCGACGAUCCAUAGCCGGCCUGAGAGGGUGAACGGCCACAUUGGGACUGAGACACGGCCCAGACUCCUACGGGAGGCAGCAGUGGGGAAUAUUGCACAAUGGGGGAAACCCUGAUGCAGCGACGCCGCGUGAAGGAAGAAGUAUCUCGGUAUGUAAACUUCUAUCAGCAGGGAAGAUAGUGACGGUACCUGACUAAGAAG